UUCAUAGGUCUUCAAUGCAGAGUAACUGGACCUACUCCGGAUGGAAGAGAAAAGCACCAGCUCCAAGCCAUCUCCAUAUUUGGUUUAUUAGAACUCGUAUUCCAUCUGGAUAGCUAACAUCAAGCCCUUGUUUCCGCUGCUACUGCCUCCCUGUAUUUCUGAAGCAUAUCACAAUGAGGCAUCUGAUAAGCGAAUCCCCACUGCCGGCGUUGCAUCUCCUGAUGGCAAUUCCUGCUAACUACAUUGACAUAAUCAGCCUCAAUACGCUUCUCCAGCGCCAUCCGUUCAUCGCUCUGGUAAGGAUACUCUUCCUCAAACCUCGCCGACUUCACAAAAUACAUCACCCCCCUCUCAGUCUCAUACUUGUACUGAUACUGAUAUGUCCUCGAGAGCUCAUACACCGGCUCCGACGACGGGAAAAAAGCCGGAAGGAUGUUCACCAACAGAAGGAAUAUAACCGGCAGGAUCUGGACAAGCGACCUUG
rnacentral:misc_RNA from 1 species